rnacentral:lncRNA from 1 species
AAGAUUUCUUUUCCUUUUCUCAUAUUUUCGCAUAAACCAAUCAGAGAAUAAAGAAGAAACUAAAUAAACCAAAAGAAAAGUAGUACUACUAUUUCGUUUAGAUUACAGAAUGCAGAUGAUGAAAUAAUGCUUCAUGACUAAUGUGAAUGCAAAAUCAGUUUGAUCCGUGGGAUAAAAAAUGGCAUGUUAUGUGGUAAAAUCUAUGCUGGUUCUUAUUCUUUUUUCUUUUUCUAUGUACUAAUCCGUAG